AUGGCUUGUGCUUGACUAUAGAUAUCAGUGUACUCUGAAAAAGGGGAGUCAUCUGGCAAAAACAUCACUUUACCUGCUGUCUUCAAGGCUCCUAUUAGACCAGAAAUUGUGAAUAUUGUUCAUACCAACUUGUGUAAAAACAACAGACAAUCACAUGUUAUCAGUGAAUUAGCAGGUCAUCAGACUGUCAGACCAUCAGACCAGUGCUGAGUCUUGGGGUACUGGCAGAGCUGUGGCUAGGAUUCUCAGAGUUUGAGGUGGUAGGACUCACCAUUCUGGCCAGGGUGCUUUUGGAAAUAUGGGUGUAAGCUGCAUGUUUGCACCAAGCAAAACCCUGGCACCAUAGAGUGAACACAACCCAAAAGCUAUAUGCCAUCUGCCCUGCCCUGGCCACCUCAGUCUUACCAGUGCUAGUCACAUCUAAAGAUCAUCAUAUUGAAGAAGAUCCUGAACCUUCUUUGGCGGUUAAAGAUAAAGUUGAAGGUUAUAAGAAGACCAAGGAGGCUGUUUUACUUCUCAAGAAACUUAAGGGCUAGACUAAUGUCAAGAAGGUCUAUGCCUCUCAGCGAGUGAGGGCUGGUAAGGGAAAUGAGAAACCAUUGUGGUAUCCAGCGCAGGGGACCCUGCACCAUCUAUGAUGAGGAUGAUGUAUCAUCAAGGCUUUCAGGAACACUCUUGGAAUAACUCUGCUUAAUGUAAGCCAGAUGAACAUUUUGAAACGUGCUCCUGGUGGGCAUGUGGGACUUUUCUGCAUUUGGACUGAAAAUGCUUUACGAAAGUUAGAUGAAUGGCAAGGCACCUGGCGUACUGCUGCUUCUCUCAGGAAUAACUACAACUUUCCCAAGCACAAGGUGAUGAGCACAGGCCUUAGCAGAAUCUUGAAAACCCCAGAGAUCCAAAGAGCUCUUCGAGCACCAGGCAAAAAGAUUCAUUGCAGAGUCCUGAAGAAGAAUCCAUCAAAAAACCCAAGAAUCAUGUUGAAGCUAAACUCAUAUGCAAAGACCAUGUGCCAGACAGAAUACCAUUCUUCACCAGGCCAGGAAUCCCACACGUCCCUGGAUAGGGCAGCUGCAGCACUGUAGGCCAAGUCAAAUGAGAAGGGGGAUGCAGGCAAGAAGCCAGAAACAGGCUGCCUCUACCAAGAAACCAGCAGCUGAAAAGAAGCCAGCCGAGAAGAAACCUACCACAGAGGGAAAGAAGCCGGCUCCAUAAACUCUUAAAUUUGUUUACUCCAUAAAGGUCAGAUCAUUUUGGACAGCUU